GACGAACGCUGGCGGCGUGCUUAAUACAUGCAAGUCGAACGGACAGGCCCUGCUCUUGUGGGGUGCUCGAGUGGCGAACGGGUGUGUAAAACGCGUGUAACCUGUCCUUGAAUUUGGGAUAUAUUUAGGAAACUGGGGCUAAUAUCGGAUAGGAGCUCCUGCUGCAUGGUGGGGGUUGGAAAGUUUCGGCGGUUGUGGAUGGAAUCGCGGGUUAUCCGCUUGUUGGUGGGGUAGUGAAGUACAAAGGCUUUGACGGGUAGGCCGCCUUGGAGGGUGACCGGCGACAAUGCGACUGAGGGACGGCCCAGUCGCCUACGGGAGGCAGCAGGGGGGAAUAUUACACAACGACGCGAAGCCUGAUGCAGCAACGCCGCGUGCGUAAUAACGGCUUACUAGUUGUAAACCGCUGUCGCCUGUGACGAAGCGUGAGUGACGGUAAUGAGUAAAAAAGCACCGGCUAACUACGUG
rnacentral:rRNA from 1 species